AUUGAACGCUGGCGGCAGGCUUAACACAUGCAAGUCGAACGGUAGCAGGAGAAAGCUUGCUUUCUUGCUGACGAGUGGCGGACGGGUGAGUAAUGCUUGGGAAUCUGGCUUAUGGAGGGGGAUAACUACGGGAAACUGUAGCUAAUACCGCGUAGAAUCGGAAGAUGAAAGUGCGGGACCGCAAGGCCGCAUGCCAUGAGAUGAGCCCAAGUGGGAUUAGGUAGUUGGUGGGGUAAAGGCCUACCAAGCCUGCGAUCUCUAGCUGGUCUGAGAGGAUGGCCAGCCACACUGGAACUGAGACACGGUCCAGACUCCUACGGGAGGCAGCAGUGGGGAAUAUUGCGCAAUGGGGGGAACCCUGACGCAGCCAUGCCGCGUGAAUGAAGAAGGCCUUCGGGUUGUAAAGUUCUUUCGGUAUUGAGGAAGGAGUGUAUGUUAAUAGCAUACAUUAUGGACGUAAAUACAGAAGAGC
rnacentral:rRNA from 1 species